UACAGAGGUCUCAAGCGUUGCUCGGAAUCACUGGGCGUAAAGGGUGCGUAGGCGGGUCUUUUAAGUCAGGGGUGAAAUCCUGGAGCUCAACUCCAGAACUGCCUUUGAUACUGAAGAUCUUGAGUUCGGGAGAGGUGAGUGGAACUGCGAGUGUAGAGGUGAAAUUCGUAGAUAUUCGCAAGAACACCAGUGGCGAAGGCGGCUCACUGGCCCGAUACUGACGCUGAGGCACGAAAGCGUGGGGAGCAAACAGGG
rnacentral:rRNA from 1 species